UAUAUUCAUUCACAUUAAUCAUUAAAAAUCUCUUUUGAAUGAUUUUAUGUAAAUGGAGAGUCAGUCCAUAGUAAUAGUAUAUUUGCAAUCACCACCCCUUGCAUAUUAUUGUUGGCACAAGAAUUAUAUUGACUUUUAUUUGUGUGUGUCCCAGGGACUGACCAACUCUUCUCACUCAGCUGAGAGUUUUAAGAUGCAGGAUAAAGACAGAAGGUUGCUGGAUAUGAGCACACGUUCCCUCAAUAGUGAUUCACCCCUGGUCAGCCCUGAGGGACUCGGCUGUUCUGACUUCUCCUCUUUGGAGAGCAUAGGUGAGCCAGUUGGACAGCCAUUGGAGAGGAGCCUACACCGCUCAGACCCUGCCAUUACAAACUUGGCCUUCUCAAAACAUCUGGCACCCACACAACCUUCAGUAGUGGGCUAUUCUGCUUCACGUGUGAAGCCAGAGGAUGAUAUUCUGUUCCAGUGGAGACUCAGGAGGAAGAUGGAGCAGUCAGGCCAUCAGCUUCAGUGUCUUCUCCAACGCUCCGUCCCUCACAGCUCUCUCGGCAGCCUUCCACAACAAAUGACUCAGAAUAACUGGCUUAUCAGGGACCUCUCAAGUACAGUGGAGGGCACUUUCACUCGUGCCCCACCAGAAACACGUGCUCAGGACCCCUCUCUUCCCUUUACCUUUCCACAGCCCAGUUUGUCAGCGUUCCAGCCUAAGCACCACAUCUCUCCACACACAUCCCCCUUCAACGGUGGCCCGCCAUGCCCUCUCCAAAGCUCUCCCAUAUUAUUGCCCAAUGAGAGUAGGCAGCCGCGGAAGAAGAGUUCCACUGAUCCUGACAUGUGCGCACAAUUAUCAUCAGACCAGCUCAGCUUCCAAAAUGCCUUGAGCAACCAGCGCAACAAACUCCAUUCAUCCCUUCAUCAGCACCUCCCUGAAAACAAAGAGGGACACCGCCGUCUUAUCUCCAGGACGAGUGGGAAAGGAGGGAAAAGUGCAAUGUCACAGGGGGAAGGAACAGAGGCUGAGACGGGAAAGAAAAGAAAUGGCACUUCCUCCAGUAAACAAAAGGGUUCGAGGUAGGUAGGUUUCAGGAUUGUGUCCUGCAGGUGUUCAUAUAAGUAUAUCCGUGGUGGGAUAUAAUUAUGAAAUAAUUUGAUAUUCCACAUCAUAUUACUCCACAUCAACCUACAAUUCCAAAUAAGACUUUGUAGUUUAUGAACUAAAAUAAAUAAAGAAAUGACCUUCAUAUUCUUAAAUUAUCAUGAAAAAUGCCUGCUUUGAUGAAACACAGAUGAUGUUUUCCAAAAAUAUAUAUAUGUUCAUAUUGAAAACCGCAACAUCCCACUCUUCGUGAGCAGGGUUUCAAUCUUGGAUUGAAAACGGAUUGGAACAAUGGAAAAUGAUGGCCGAUACAUUUGACCGUUAUUUCUCUACUAUUAACCAUGGCUUAUAGAUUCAUUUAGUUCAAUUUCUGCAGCCCUGCUGUUACUACCACCCAUAGUUUAUUGGGUACAGACUGAGGACCGCAUUGUUAAUAUCUGUCCAGUUGGUUAAAUCAAUGCCUGCUUAUUAUGGAAUGAAACCCACACCGCUGUGUUGUGUUUUAGACAUGGAAGGCAUGUGGAUCAUGCAGCCAGGCCUCACCCUGCCAUGGGAGGAAGAGGAGGAGGAGGAGGAGGAGGAGGAGGAGGAGGAGGAGGCCCAGAUGGCAAGAGGCAUGGCAAGGAACGAAGACGGGAAGCUUUACCUUUCUCUCCCGUACACAGCACUCUUGGAAUGGUGGUCUCGGAAGUUCUUUUUCCUGAUUCGGGAUCCGCAGACACCUCCAGAAUGUCAAGCCUCACUGACUCUUGUGAAGAUACUCAACCAUUUCCACCACAGACCUGUACCAAUCCUCAUAGCCUGCAGAGCCCUUCAGAGAUCAUUACUAAGCUUCUCAAGGAGGCAGAGGAUUCAGAUGAGCUGGAGUUUGAGGACGACCCCUUACUGCUGGUACUGAGAGAGCAGAGAGGCUGUGUGAAGCAACGCAUAUGCGAGAUGGAUAUGUUGCUUGAAGCAUGGCAUGAAAAACAACCCCUCUGACAUUUCAGAAUCUCUCCAAAUACACUCAAUCCUGUAUAAUUUUAACUUAUUGUAAAUAAAUUAUGAAUGUUGAAAAUGUUAACAUUUUGUACCAUACCUGAGUAGAUAUGUAAUUUGUUUGUUUAUAUGACUGUGGAAAAACUUAAUACAAGCAACAAAGAAAUGUAAGAGUCAGUCCUUUCAUUUCAGACAUGCUGUUUUGUGGAGGUGGAAUAUUAAUUAUAGUUAAGUAAACUGUAGUCAAAGCUUUGUAUAUUUUCAUUAAAGUUACAUUCACAUCAUCA